AUUAAACAAAAAAGAAAGAGAAGAAGAAAAAGAAAAAGUCAUGAAAAAUUCCCAAGUUUCUGCUCUACUUUUCCUGUUGGUUCUUCUUUUCUCUACUGGGAAAGAGGUGGUAGCGACGGAAAAUGGACGCAGCUGCAGUGAAGGAAUAAAAAUGGCAGGACCUUGCAAAAACCCAGAAUGCUCGAAUUUAUGUAAGGAACGCCAUGGAGAUGAAGCCAUCGGAGUUUGUCUUGGUGGUUGCUUUUGUCGAUACCCUUGUCUUUCUUCUUAAAUCCAAUUAAUGUUUGAUGUGCUACAUCAUAGCUUUAAUAAUGCCAAAACCCCUCUAAUUAAAUUCAAUAAAACUCACAUCUAUUCAUCUUUUCA